rnacentral:misc_RNA from 1 species
UAAGCAUAUAAGAUCAUGCAUGGCAUUCUAUAUAUUGAAUUAUCUAAUAGCAAGCAUGACACUUGCUUGUUCACCAGAUCUAUUUAGCUAGGAAAUUUCCUAUAUGGAUUCCUGCUCAUAUUUCGUAACAAAUGUUCUCGAAUCUCAGAAGCCCAAAAACUUAGUAGAAUGUUCUAACAAAGGACCUAACGCACUAGGCGCGAAUUUUCUGGCAAAAAGGUAACAAAGUGAAGUUGGCUGGUUAUUGUAUACACAUAUUGAGCUUUCAGAAAUUCGCUUGAAAAAUUGAUCAUUAAUAUCGGCCUUCCCAAAUGUAGCAGGAUGAGCACCACCUCUGGACCAGUCCACCCAAGUGAGAGUCCGGUUUGCCAGGAGGCGAGGAGAUUCUAUGGUUAGCAUAGUUGGAAAAUAGUGCUCAUCCACAUAACAUGGCGGUCUGCAGAACUGCUCAAACUUAGGGUAGUAUACGUCAUCUUUAACAAUGUCAACAGCCAGUUUCCUGUUCACUUCAAACCACUGGGAUCCUUUACGCCAUUCAGUGAUGUUAACCUCAGGUACCAUAUUUGGAUUGUAACGUCCUCUUCCAAAAGGUCCAGGUUCGUCGGCUGCACCCAUAAAGCUGUACCUCGAUUUUGAAAUGUAGUGAUAGAUAGCUUUGAAGUUAUGGAGAGGAAUGCAUGCCUCAGAUAGGAGGAUAAACCAUUCAUUGGAGAUAUCAAGCAGUGCAUUAGCAAGAAGCCGUCUUUCAGCAUCACACAUGCUCAUUCUUCCCCACUUCGCCUCCUGACUAGGAAUUUGCCUGCCAUGAAAUACUGAUGAAGGUGGGAAAUCAGGUCUGUAUGAUGGCAAUGAAUGUAUGUAGAUUGAGUAAAGCUCAUUACCCUUGAAAAACCUCUCCCACAACGGCGCCAAAGGUAUAGGGCCUCUAGUCAAGAACAUGAACGCAAUCUUACGCGUUCUAUUAAAGGGGUAUUCUUUGAUUUGAGGAACAAUUGAAGCUCGCCAGAACAACUGUGUGUCAUUCAUAGAAUGCAACAGACUCGACGGAGGCCUAAUCCAACUCUCCAAACUAAGUUGUUGAAAACAGGGCUGAAAUCUUGAUUGUACCAUA